UUUAGUGAUGAAUACUUAUAGAUGACGAGUCUGAUCUACUUUGUGAAGACAAAACUAUUUUUAAUUCCAUUCAUGCAUUUCUGAAA
rnacentral:snoRNA from 24 species